CAAGAGCGAAGGAAUACGAGUACAGACGCUGAAAGUGUUGGGUUACUUCCUGAAACAUCUGACACCCAAGAGGAAGUCCGAGGUCAUGCUGAGUCAGAGCCUUUUCUCUCUGCUCACGGAGCGCCUGACGCUCCACGCGGACCAGUUCUCCAUGACGACCUACAACGUGCUCUUCGAGAUCCUCACAGAGCAGAUCUGCACACAAGUGAUCCAUAAACAACAUCCAGACCCGGACUCCAGCGUGAAGAUCCUCAACCCGC